rnacentral:rRNA from 1 species
UACGAGGGGGGCAAGUGUUGUUCGGAAUCACUGGGCGUAAAGGGAGCGUAGGCGGAAACUUAAGUUGGGUGUUUAAAACCGGGGCCCAACCCCGGAGCGGCACUCAAAACUGGGUUUCUUGAAUGGGACAGAGGCUGGUGGAAUUCCGGGUGUAGUGGUGAAAUGCGUAGAGAUCCGGAGGAACACCAGUGGCGAAGGCGACACACUGGGCCGUACCUGACACUAAGACGCGACAGCAUGGGGAGCGAACGGG